rnacentral:rRNA from 1 species
UUGGACAAUGGGGGCAACCCUGAUCCAGCAAUGCCGCGUGUGUGAAGAAGGCCUUCGGGUUGUAAAGCACUUUUGUCCGGAAAGAAAUGGCGCUGGUUAAUACCCGGCGUCGAUGACGGUACCGGAAGAAUAAGCACCGGCUAACUACGUGCCAGCAGCCGCGGUAAUACGUAGGGUGCGAGCGUUAAUCGGAAUUACUGGGCGUAAAGCGUGCGCAGGCGGUUUGAUAAGACAGGCGUGAAAUCCCCGAGCUCAACUUGGGAAUGGCGCUUGUGACUGUCAGGCUAGAGUAUGUCAGAGGGGGGUAGAAUUCCACGUGUAGCAGUGAAAUGCGUAGAGAUGUGGAGGAAUACCGAUGGCGAAGGCAGCCCCCUGGGACGUCACUGACGCUCAUGCACGAAAGCGUGGGGAGCAAACAGGAUUAGAUACCCUGGUAGUCCACGCCCUAAACGAUGUCAACUAGUUGUUGGGGAUUCAU